rnacentral:rRNA from 1 species
AUGGACCAAUCCAUCCCUUUUUCCCGUGCAUAUGCAUCAGACUCAGAUGACGAUGGUCCUGAUGAAGAAGUUGAUGAGGAGGGGUUCACACCGAAGGAGGCCGAAGCAUUCAAGAAGGUAUUCGGGCGGGAUCACAAGACACCAUUGUUCAAGGAUCUUAGUCUCGCGGAUGAAGCCGUUGUGGAUGGUGGAAAAUGCAUAUCUCUUGGAGCUAGGCCAAGUUCUCAC